GAUGAACGCUGGCGGCGUGCCUAAUACAUGCCAGUCGAGCGAACGGACGAGAAGCUUGCUUCUCUGAUGUUAUCGGCGGACGGGUGAGUAACACGUGGAUAACCUACCUAUAAGACUGGGAUAACUUCGGGAAACCGGAGCUAAUACCGGAUAAUAUUUUGAACCGCAUGGUUCAAAAGUGAAAGACGGUCUUGCUGUCACUUAUAGAUGGAUCCGCGCUGCAUUAGCUAGUUGGUAAGGUAACGGCUUACCAAGGCAACGAUGCAUAGCCGACCUGAGAGGGUGAUCGGCCACACUGGAACUGAGACACGGUCCAGACUCCUACGGGAGGCAGCAGUAGGGAAUCUUCCGCAAUGGGCGAAAGCCUGACGGAGCAACGCCGCGUGAGUGGUGAAGGUCUUCGGAUCGUAAAACUCUGUUAUUAGGGAAGAACAUAUGUGUAAGUAACUGUGCACAUCUUGACGGUACCUAAGCAGAAAGCCACGGCUAACUACGU
rnacentral:rRNA from 1 species